rnacentral:tRNA from 1 species
GGCAUGGCUCAGUGGAAAGAGCCUGGGCUUGGGAGCCAGAGGUCAUGGGUUCGAAUCCCUGCUAUGCCA